UUGGUGAGCAGGUCAUUCCCAGCUCGGCUGACCUUUUGAAAACAAAACCAAGCCUUUGCAUUACUUUUUGACUCAAUAUUUAAACUACGAUUGACAAAUCUCAGUAUUUCCAAUAGGAGCUAGUACCAAUGCCCACUCUGUGAAAACUUUGCAGCUUGGUUGGUGAGGCAAGCUGCAGGGAAGGGCAGAAAGAGCAGCAGAAUCACAAUUGGCAUCCAGAUUGACCAGAUUGGAUAAAGACAAGCCUGCAUCUGUCCUGGCGGAGCCCACUGACCCUGACUGACAGCCUCCAACAGCACCUUUACCCAGCGAGCCUCCUGUCCCGACACCAACAUGCCUGAACUACUGGACCCCUCUCUGGUGGAACCAAUUAGACUAAACUCGUCAGGAAGCCAGACCCUAGAAGACAACAGAGAACCUGUGAAGAUGCUGGGAAAUGGCUUCAGUGCUUUGAAUCACGUUACAUAGUGACUGCUCCCAAGUGAUUAGCCAUUCAAAAAAGCAAGAUCACCAUGCUGAUCAGGUACGUUCCACCGUGCAGCCACAAGCUUUUCUUUGUGUCUUUCUUUGAGUUUUGUCAUAUUUCUUCAUUGUUUUUAUUGUAGUGUGGGUCUUCUUCCUUUGUCAUAGCAUGUAAAUGGCCCUCUGUGUGCUUUCUUUUUCUGGAAACUUAGCUUUCUGUCUUUCAAGUAAAAAGACAGUGCCGCAGAGAUUAAAUAUGAAAAUGAUUGUAACUUGUCAGGGUGAGGUAGAAGCAGGGAUUUCCCAGUCUCUCUCAACAUCUCCUUCAGCAGCUCCUUCCUAAUAAAACUGAGCAUGCAAACUUUUUAGCAUAAAUGGCACUAAAUGUCUUCAGAAAUGAAACAAAUGGCACAUCUAGGGCCCCAGCUGAAGGCUAUUAUGGGUUAAAUUGUGAUUUAUGGUGCCCACGGACAAUCAUUUUAUGUCCAGUGACAGCUUCUACAUUUCAGUCAUGGCACCUUAAUGAAGGGCCAUGAUACUAUCUCAGAGUCUGCAGCUCCAUAAUGGGCCAAUUUGUACAGUAAAUGACAGCCGGAGAACCAGAGGAAUGUUUUGUGUAAUAUUUGAUAAUGUAAUUGAUAUUCGCUCAGGUUUAUGAAUGUAAAUGUUGGGCCAUUUGGUCUUCAUUGGGGUCAUUUUUCUUCUGAUUAUUGAGAACCCAUAAAAUGAAGGCGCUUAACUUUAUCCCUAUCAAAGCACUUGGCAGAAUAGUUUGCAGAGCAUGUUCUCUUGGGGAAAACACAUUCUAAACUUUUACAUAGCUAUUUUUCAUUUUCGUCAAGGUGCAACAUUUUGCACUCACUCACUGGAAUGCUGUGAGCAUUAAUUAACAUUUGCAAUGCUCAUAGAAGGUGAAAAAUGCCAAGAAGGUGCUAAGUCUUAGAAGUGGAAAUAUUGGCUGUGCAAUCUUUUUGAAGAUUUGGCUGGCAGUUUGGAAGACUAACUGUACAGAAAUUGCACAGCAUAAAUAGCAGAUGUUGAAGCACUGGGAGUCAACACGCAAGAGUCAGUGGUCUCUAAGCACAUGUGACCCAGUCCUUUUGGGAUAUUAUUUGUCAGAUGAAGCUCCUUAUUUUCAUUUGGAAAAUGUGUAAGGAAAGCAGUGGAGCAGUGAUGUUCUGUAUCUUUUGUAACUCACCAAAAAAGAAGAGGAGGUCCCACAAAAGACCAAAGGUAACAGCAAACAUCAAUCAAGAACAAUGAUAAAAAGCAAAUAUAUGAAAAUAUAUCUGUGUUAAUGCUACAACUGACUGUAAAUGCAUACAUAUGUAAAUGAAACAAUA